AGGGGGGGGGGAAGAGGGAUAAAUAACACACGGUUCAUGUUAAAAUUACUUCACACCAUGCCACAAGCUAUUGCACUGAAAAUCCUGCCACUUACACUUUUAUGGUAAAAGCCCCAAACAGCUUCUUGCAACUAAAUCUCCAAUGAUAUGAGAUACUAGAUUUUUUAGGAUAUCUGGCCAAUUGAGAUCCAGAGAACAAUAACCCAGCAAUAGAACAAAAACAGAACCGAGCCACCAACCAACAGCUGCUUUCAUCAGCACUAACCAAAAGUAGACCUCAGACACUAAUCCCAAAUUCACAACUUAGUUAACAA